rnacentral:rRNA from 1 species
AGAGCUCGCAGGCGGUUCCUUAAGUCUGAUGUGAAAGCCCCCGGCUCAACCGAGGAGGGUCAUUGGAAACUGGGGAACUUGAGUGCAGAAGAGGAGAGUGGAAUUCCACGUGUAGCGGUGAAAUGCGUAGAGAUGUGGAGGAACACCAGUGGCGAAGGCGACUCUCUGGUCUGUAACUGACGCUGAGGAGCGAAAGCGUGGGGAGCGAACAGGAUUAGAUACCCUGGUAGUCCACGCCGUAAACGAUGAGUGCUAAGUGUUAGGGGGUUUCCGCCCCUUAGUGCUGCAGCUAACGCAUUAAGCACUCCGCCUGGGGAGUACGGUCGCAAGACUGAAACUCAAAGGAAUUGACGGGGGCCCGCACAAGCGGUGGAGCAUGUGGUUUAAUUCGAAGCAACGCGAAGAACCUUACCAGGUCUUGACAUCCUCUGACAAUCCUAGAGAUAGGACGUCCCCUUCGGGGGCAGAGUGACAGGUGGUGCAUGGUUGUCGUCAGCUCGUGUCGUGAGAUGUUGGGUUAAGUCCCGCAACGAGCGCAACCCUUGAUCUUAGUUGCCAGCAUUCAGUUGGGCACUCUAAGGUGACUGCCGGUGACAAACCGGAGGAAGGUGGGGAUGACGUCAAAUCAUCAUGCCCCUUAUGACCUGGGCUACACACGUGCUACAAUGGACAGAACAAAGGGCAGCGAAACCGCGAGGUUAAGCCAAUCCCACAAAUCUGUUCUCAGUUCGGAUCGCAGUCUGCAACUCGACUG